GACGUGGUUGUCAUGCCAACGGUUCCCUUCACAGCCCCGCCCAUGUUGGAACGUGGUGCCUCAAUCAAAGAAACGAUCACAUUUGCUCUAAAAGGCAUCAGAACGAAUACCAAAUCCGCGAACUUGACGGGGCAUCCUUCGAUCACCAUCAAUGCCGGGAGUCUCGGCGGAUUACCGGUCGGGAUUUUGUUGACUUCUAAGAAAUUCAACGAACUCCAACUCUUGCAAAUAGCUCAGGCCUUUGAGAAUUUCAUCAAUGACAGUACACAAUAAUGCAACAUAAUCGAAUCAUGUGAUUAAAGUGCUACAAAAUAUUGCGUGCCGUGACCAUGUUUUUUCCAUAUACAAGUCGGUGAAGCGUUAAUAAUUGUCAAACUUUCUUUCUGUGAUAUUGAUGAUCUAUGAGUAGUCCGAAUCGACUACUUUAACCGAAAAUCUCAAAUUUGACUUUUUAAAAUUCACACUGGUAAUAUUUUGGGUUCGGAUAAUACGCAUGUUGCUUGCCCAUAACAUGCUACUAACAGUUAUAUUAUGACCCUGGGCGUACAAGGCGGGGGGGGGGGGGGUUGUGACCUUCAUUAAUAUACGUGAAUAGCGUUCUCUGAUUGGCUAAGCUGCAUCAGUCACGUGACAAACUUCGCGGUCACCGUCCAUAUACACUCAAAUUUCUCACAAUUUUGAUGGGAAUAUAAUUAUGAAGUUGUUUGUUAUUUGAAAAUUUGCCGUCACACACCGGCAAUACAACGUGAAUUAAAUUCUAGGAACUGAAAUUCCUACAAUGUUCCACUAGUUUGAGAGCAUCGGUUAUCGAAAGCAAAGUUUUGUCGUCUGAGGAAUCUGGCUAGAUAGAGAGGAACACCCAGUGAUCUUUUAAUGUCUUAUAUCUAAUAUAAUUUGUUUGCCCUCCUUUUCCUUUUUUCUUCAAAGCUAAUCUUAAUUGUUAAUUAAUGAUGCAUGUUCCGGUUAUUAAUGACUUGUAUUUAACAAAAAUUACUUUGUUUCUAACCUAUUGAAUGCGUAUGAACGAAUUGCAUGUUGCUAUGUAAGUUUUUCAGAGUAUUAUCUAAUCUAAUUUGCAUUCUAUUUUCAUGGACGACCUGAUGUAUACACGGUUUUAUUAAAAAUUAUUAUUUCACUCGGGAAA